rnacentral:rRNA from 1 species
UCGGGAAUUUUGGGCAAUGGGCGAAAGCCUGACCCAGCAACGCCGCGUGCAGGAAGAAGGCGUUAUGCGUUGUAAACUGCUUUUGCCAGGGGAUAAAAUGACCGUGCGCGGUUAAUUGAAGGUACCUGGUGAAUAAGUCACGGCUAACUACGUGCCAGCAGCCGCGGUAAUACGUAGGUGGCAAGCGUUGUCCGGAUUUAUUGGGUUUAAAGGGUGCGUAGGUGGCCCUGUAAGCCAGUGGUGAAAUAUCUCAGCUUAACUGAGAGGGUGCCAUUGAUACUGCAGGGCUUGAGUACAGAUGAGGUAGGCGGAAUUGACGGUGUAGCGGUGAAAUGCAUAGAUAUCGUCAAGAACACCGAUAGCGAAGGCAGCUUACCAAGCUGUAACUGACACUGAGGCACGAAAGUGUGGGGAUCAAACAGGAUUAGAUACCCCAGUAGUCCCUGAGCGGGCUGGCAAGGCGCAU